GAAGGAGUUGAGCCAUUAGCGGAGUCACACAGGAAAAGCAAUUGACGUGCAUUUGUGGUUGGAAAAACAUGAACACACAAGAGUAAAAAUUGCUGGGAGAUGGACCCUUUCCCAUCUGCCUCUGGGAGGAAUAUACCCUAGACAGGUCGCCACUCAAUCACAUGGCAAAAACUCACAUUGCCACCAUCACUGAGCAGGGGGGAACUGAAGCCUUGCACACUGCACCGAAGGCAGAUGAGUUACCAUGACAUCAUCAGCAAUUAGGGGUAUCCAUCCAUCCAUCCAUCCAUCCAUCCAUCCAUCCAUCCAUCCAUCCAUCCAUCCAUCCAUCCAUCCAUCCAUCCAUCCAUCCAUCCAUCCAUCCAUCCAUCCAUCCAUCCAUCCAUCCAUCCAAAGCACAUAAAGCAAUAUAAAAAUUCAAUGGAAUGAAACAAUGUAGUGCAAAAAGAAAAGGCGAGAUUCUGCAGAGGGUUACAAACAUCAGUCAAACAGGAAAAUGUUGGUCAGCAAAGACAAUCUCUGGAAUGACUGGAAUCUGUCACAUCUCUCAUAGAAAUACGGUCAAAAUGCGACUUCAUUAUCAGAAAUCAAGAAAUGCGCAAUCAGACAAAGAAUACUGCAUCGCAUUAAAAUAUACUCAAAAGUUGCAUCCUUUCAUAGUUGAUGAAAUGAUGCGAGUGUAUGUUUCUUUGCUGUGCACUUCAACAUGUCUCAUCAGUCUAAUCUCUGUCCGUGGCACCAAUGAAUAGAAAAUACAUUCAGUAAUAAUACUAAUAAACUUUCUAACUUUUUAAACAAAGUUUUACACAGUGCAACACAAUCUGAUUCACACAAACUAAAGGCCUUACUCUUGAAUGAAUCAAUUAAACACCAUUAUCAAAUCUUCCCAAC